UACGUAGGGGGCAAGCGUUGUCCGGAAUUAUUGGGCGUAAAGAGCGCGUAGGCGGUCCGGUAAGUCGGUUGUGAAAGUCGGGGGCUCAACCCUCGGAUGCCGAUCGAUACUGUCGGGCUAGAGUCCGGAAGAGGCGAGUGGAAUUCCUGGUGUAGCGGUGAAAUGCGUAGAUAUCAGGAGGAACACCGGUGGCGAAGGCGGAUACCUGGACAGAAACUGACGCUGAGGCGCGAAAGCUAGGGGAGCAAACAGG
rnacentral:rRNA from 1 species